rfam:Pteropus alecto contig1369, whole genome shotgun sequence.
AUGCUCACUUGGGCAGCACAUAUACUAAAAUUGGAACAAUACAGAAAAUUAGUUAGCAUGGCCCUGUCCAAGGAUGAUACACAAAUUCAUGGAGUGUUCCAUAUUUUU